rnacentral:rRNA from 1 species
GAUGAACGCUGGCUACAGGCUUAACACAUGCAAGUCGAGGGGAAACGACGGGGAAGCUUGCUUCCCCGGGCGUCGACCGGCGCACGGGUGAGUAACGCGUAUCCAACCUGCCCCUGACUGAGGGAUAACCCGUCGAAAGUCGGCCUAAUACCUCAUGGCAUCGUCUGCGGGCAUCCAACGACGAUUAAAGAUUUCAUCGGUCAGGGAUGGGGAUGCGUCUGAUUAGCUUGUUGGCGGGGUAACGGCCCACCAAGGCUACGAUCAGUAGGGGUUCUGAGAGGAAGGUCCCCCACAUUGGAACUGAGACACGGUCCAAACUCCUACGGGAGGCAGCAGUGAGGAAUAUUGGUCAAUGGGCGGGAGCCUGAACCAGCCAAGUAGCGUGCAGGAUGACGGCCCUAUGGGUUGUAAACUGCCUUUAUGCGGGGAUAAAGUGAGGGACGUGUCCUUCAUUGCAGGUACCGCAUGAAUAAGGACCGGCUAAUUCCGUG